AGUGAACGCUGGCGGUAGGCCUAACACAUGCAAGUCGAACGGCAGCACAGUAAGAGCUUGCUCUUACGGGUGGCGAGUGGCGGACGGGUGAGGAAUACAUCGGAAUCUACUUUUUCGUGGGGGAUAACGUAGGGAAACUUACGCUAAUACCGCAUACGACCUACGGGUGAAAGCAGGGGAUCUUCGGACCUUGCGCGAUUGAAUGAGCCGAUGUCGGAUUAGCUAGUUGGCGGGGUAAAGGCCCACCAAGGCGACGAUCCGUAGCUGGCCUGAGAGGAUGAUCAGCCACACUGGAACUGAGACACGGUCCAGACUCCUACGGGAGGCAGCAGUGGGGAAUAUUGGACAAUGGGCGCAAGCCUGAUCCAGCCAUACCGCGUGGGUGAAGAAGGCCUUCGGGUUGUAAAGCCCUUUUGUUGGGAAGGAAAAGCAGCAGGUUAAUACCCCGCUGUUCUGACGGUACCCAAAGAAUAAGCACCGGCUAACUUCGUG
rnacentral:rRNA from 1 species